GCCCCCGAUGGGGAGGAAGGAGAGAGGGCCACCCCCCGCCUCACUCUCGAUCUGGAGUGGUUGACCUGGGCAUAGGUCUGCUCCUGGGGGGCUCCAUGCUGCCCGUUCUGCUGGAGGGAGACGGUGAGGCAGAAACAGCACCUCCCGGGUCCCGCUCCCCUCCUGCAGUCAGUGUUCCCCUCCGUGGUCCGCUGGGGGCCCUUUCCUGAUGGAAUCGCCAGAGCUCCCUCACACCUCGGGGCCUCUGGACGCUUUCCGCGGUCCUGAUUCUGUCUCAGCACCUGUCCUUGCUCAUGUGGCUCCAGCCACACCGCCCACCUUCCUGCCACAGCCCGUCUCGGCCUCAGCCAGGAGCUUUGGACAUGCGCCCCCCCCCCCCCACCGCCAGCACCCGGUCCCCUUCUCUUGCUUUAUCUCCCUGCCUCCGAGGACCCUGCCUGCCCCUUUGCAUAGCGCCUCUCUCCCCGCUGCAGGGGAGCUCAGGGAGUGUCAGCCGUACUCCUUCUGCAGCUGCAGCACCUACAGGGAGCCGGGCAAGGUGCUCCCCUGGCCCCGUCUGUUGGGAGCAGGAAGGACGGGAGCCUGGGCACUUGCGGGCCAUUCCCUUAUCCACGCAUCCUCCUGAGCCACGGGGCUGCAUCCAGCACCAGAGGGUCAGACAGAGGACGAGGAGUCGGGAGAGGGGACCCCGAAGGUGGGGCCACGAGGAGACAGGAGGGGGAGCCACAGCGGGACGACCCGGGGGCCCAGGGGAGAGUCCAUUGUGGGUGCUGCUGGAGCUGGGGUGUGGGCACUGAGAUGGCUGCCCUGGGUGAAGUUGGGCCACGAGAAGGUCUUUGGUGGCCUGGCCAGGAGCAGGGGUCUCACCAGAUGGUCCAGCUCUGUCCCCUCCUCAGACUGUGUGUCCUUCACGGCAGCAUCUGCUGGGGCAGAACCGGGGAGACGGGGGCCUUCCUGGGCAGGACUCCCUGAGAUUGCUCAGGGCUGGGCCCCCUGCACCCAGAAGGCGGGCGUUGGGUGCUGCAUGAGUCUCUCUCUCGCCGCAUCCGGCCUCCCGUUCCCCCCGCCUCUGCAGAGCUCUCCACACCCACCCGCAGGGCUGCCCUCCUCUUCUGCUCACAGAGGUUCUGGUCCUGGGCGUCGGCGGCUGGGCUGGAGCUGGGAGGAGACGGGGGUGUUAGGGGUGGACGGGGCUGCGGGCAGCUGGGAGCCUGGGGUCUUGGGGCAGGAGUCACCUGUUCUGCAGGCCUCUGUCCUCGGGCUCCCGGUCUGCAGCCCCUGCAGGAAGUCGGAGGUCAGCGUUGCCCUGGGUGGUGUCAGCGGGCACACCUCAGCCUGGACCUGUUAUGCCCCCUGCUUCACGGGGCUCCAGGGCAAGAAGGAAACCCUGACUCCUUCCCGCACGUGGGUUUCAGUGUUUCAGGAGAUGAGACCCGAGAAACCCCCUGCAUGUCUGCCUGUGACCUGACGUUAAGAGUUUUCGUUCCAGAUUUUCAGACCUGAGACUCUGGACCAUCUCCUUCUAAGCUGACCUCACCCACCUCUUUCUUUGGUUCCCGUUGGCUCGUGCCCUCAACCCGGCGCCUCUGGGGGCCUGGGUCCCCCUGUUCCCUGCUCACCUGACUUCCUGCGUCUGUCCUGACCCCGGUGUCGGUGUCGGUGUCGGAGGAGGAGGAGGAGCAGCAGCAGGACGAAGGCCACCAAGACCCCGAUCAGAAGGCUCAGGAGGAGCUCGCGAGCGAGGCCCGUCAUGCAAGAGGAAAGCGAAUCUCAGAGCGGUUCCAGAAGGCUGCGCAGAGAGGUGAGAAGUGGAAGUUCCAGAUCCUGGAGAAGAUGCGGGGGUCCCCCUUGGUGUCUGCUGUGGGUGUCAGAAGGAAAGAAGCUCCUGCUCAGGACACAAGUACCCGGAUUUCGCACUGUGUGGCCAUGAGUUCAGGAUCUGACUGCAGUGGCUCGGGUGUCUGUGGAGGCCGGCGUUGGAUCCCCCCAGCCCAGUGCAGAAACUUACAGGAUCUGGUGUUGCGGCAGCUGCCUGGUACCACCGAGAGAAUGACGAGCUAAUAUUGGGCUGCGACGCCACCGUACCGGAAAGUGAUGCCCAAAGAUACUAGAGAAGCACAUCAAGGAAUGAAUGGUGAGAGACUGUACUGGGAGCCCACGUGUUUGUAAGGGUCAACAGGGCCCGGGUCAUCAGGGGAGAAAUCCCUGAACACAGAGAGAUCCUGGCACCUCGGACCCUGUUGAGCUGGGUCUCCCCCACUCCUCAGGCUGCAUGUGUUGUGGCCAGACCCAGGCCUGUGGCUGUUCCCAGGGCGGGGGUGGAAGCCAGACCCCAGCAGUGACAAGGCCGGGUCCUUCCCGGGCUGCGCCGCCAGGGGGCGCCCCAGGCUGCGUCUUCACCAGAGAGAAGGAGGGCUUGGGGCAGGGAUCCCGUCACCAGCCCUGUCCUUGCCUCUCCUUUCCCCCGCGUGACACACGUUCUUUGAAGGAAGCAAACUUUUUCCGCUGACCUGAUGGACUGAGAGCGAAAGAAGGCGAGUUCCCGGUGAGGGUUUCCCGCUCGUGAGAGGAGCACGAGGUGAUGUCGUGGAGAGAGUGAGAUGCGACAGGGAGGGAGACACGGCCCCGAAGCUGUGGGACGUGCCGCAGACACACUCGCGCCCACACAGACACGCCUGCACACGUGCCCGAGGCGUGCACACGCGCGCGCGCACACACACACACACACACACACACUCGUGUGUACGAGUGCUCAGCAUCCAGGGACGCGAUGCCUGGAACCGAGUCCCCUCUGAAGCGGGAGGGGAAGGCGUGCUUGUUCCGAAAGAGCAGCGUGGGAGCGACCGGCGCCAAUCAGAGCGGGGACCUUCCCACGUACUUGGUCAAAUUAAACGAAACCAGAGUCUUCAGCUUUACUGAGAUGCAAUUGGUGGAAAUUGUACAUGCGGAAGAGGUACCAGUGGAUUCUUUAUUGUUUCUGGUUUAGGGCCGCACCCGAGUCAUUUGGAGGUUCCCAGGCUAGGGGUGGA